GGGGAUAUAUCUCAGUUGCCAGAGUGCUUGCCUUGUAUGCAUGCAUAAGUCCCUAGGUUCAAUCCCUGGCACUCCA
rnacentral:tRNA from 1 species